rnacentral:tRNA from 1 species
UGGCUCAGAGGUUAAAGCGUCUGCCUGCAAUGCAGGAGACCUGGGUUCAAUUCCUGG